rnacentral:rRNA from 1 species
UACGUAGGGGGCCAGCGUUGUCCGGAAUCAUUGGGCGUAAAGCGCGCGUAGGCGGUCAGGUAAGUCCGGUGUGAAAGUCAAAGGCUCAACCUUUGAAUGCCGCUGGAAACUGCCUGACUUGAGUCCGGUAGGGGCGAGUGGAAUUCCUGGUGUAGCGGUGAAAUGCGCAGAUAUCAGGAGGAACACCAAUGGCGAAGGCAGCUCGCUGGAACGGUACUGACGCUGAGGCGCGAAAGCUAGGGGAGCAAACGGG